CAAUAGCGUAUAUUAAAGUUGUUGCAGUUAAAAAGCUCGUAGUUGGACUUGUGGUGGUCUUUGGGGUCCGAUUUCGGUACUCUCGGGGACUGCCAUCUUUGGGUGGAUCCUGUGUGGCAUUAGGUUGUCGUGCAGGGGAUGCCCAUCGUUUACUGUGAAAAAAUUAGAGUGUUCAAAGCAGGCUUAUGCCGUUGAAUAUAUUAGCAUGGAAUAAUGAGAUAGGACCUUGGUACUAUUUUGUUGGUUUGCGCACCGAGGUAAUGAUUAAUAGGGACAGUUGUGGGUAUUCGUAUUCCAUUGUCAGAGGUGAAAUUCUUGGAUUUCUGGAAGACGAACUAAUGCGAAAGCAUUUACCAAGGAUGUUUNCAUUAA
rnacentral:rRNA from 1 species